rnacentral:misc_RNA from 1 species
UUUCCGUAGGUGAGCCUGCGGAAGGAUCAUUAUUGAAUAACCGAGGUGCGAGGGCUGUCGCUGACCCGACAGGUCGUGCACGCCCGAGUGCCCUCACACACAUCCAUCUUACCCCUAUGUGCACCACCGCGUGGGUCCCCCUUUGGCUUGUUCGGAGGGGGGCUUACGUUUUCACACAAACUUUGUAUGCAGUGUAGAAUGUAUUUUUUGUUUUUGCGAUCACGCAAUCAAUACAACUUUCAACAACGGAUCUCUUGGCUCUC